rnacentral:rRNA from 1 species
CCUACGGGGGGCAGCAGUGAGGAAUAUUGGUCAAUGGGCGGGAGCCUGAACCAGCCAAGUCGCGUGAAGGAAGAAGGUACUUAGUAUUGUAAACUUCUUUUGUCGGGGAACAAAGGCGGAGACGCGUCUCCGGAUGAGUGUACCCGAAGAAAAAGCAUCGGCUAACUCCGUGCCAGCAGCCGCGGUAAUACGGAGGAUGCGAGCGUUAUCCGGAUUUAUUGGGUUUAAAGGGUGCGCAGGCGGGAGAUCAAGUCAGCGGUAAAAUGUCGGGGCUCAACCCCGGCCGGCCGUUGAAACUGGUUUUU